AAUAUUGGACAAUGGGGGCAACCCUGAUCCAGCCAUGCCGCGUGUGUGAAGAAGGUCUUUGGAUUUUAUAGCACUUUAUGCUUGGAGGAAGGGCUUUAGGUUAUUACUCUGAAGCUUUGACGCUACCAACAGAAUAAGCACCGGCUAACUCUGUGCCAGCAGCCGCGGUAAUACAGAGGGUGCAAGCGUUAAUCGGAAUUACUGGGCGUAAAGCGCGCGUAGGUGGUUCAGUAAGAUGGGUGUGAAAUCCCCGGGCUUAAACUGGGAACUGCUUUCAUAACUGCUGAGCUAGAGUACGGUAGAGGGUAGUGGAAUUUCCUGUGUAGCGGUGAAAUGCGUAGAUAUAGGAAGGAACACCAGUGGCGAAGGCGACUACCUGGACUGAUACUGACACUGAGGUGCGAAAGCGUGGGGAGCAAAC
rnacentral:rRNA from 1 species